rnacentral:rRNA from 1 species
AACGAACGCUGGCGGCGCGCCUAACACAUGCAAGUCGAACGAGAAUCCGGGGCAACCCGGUAGUAAAGUGGCAAACGGGUGAGGAAUACAUGGGUAACCUACCCUUGAGAAGGGAAUAACCCGCCGAAAGGUGAGCUAAUACCCUAUACGCUAUCUUUUUUUCGAAAAGGAUAGGAAAGCCGGGUCGAGGACCUGGUACUCAAGGAGGGGCUCAUGUCCUAUCAGCUUGUUGGUGGGGUAACGGCCUACCAAGGCUACGACGGGUAGCUGGUCUGAGAGGAUGAUCAGCCACACUGGCACUGAGAUACGGGCCAGACUCCUACGGGAGGCAGCAGUGAGGAAUAUUGCGCAAUGGGCGAAAGCCUGACGCAGCGACGCCGCGUGGGGGAUGAAGGUUUUCGGAUUGUAAACCCUUUCAUGAGGAAAGAUAAAGUGGGUAACCACUUAGACGGUACCUCAAGAAGAAGCCACGGCUAACUUCGUGCCAGCAGCCGCGGUAAUGUGACU